UGCUGAUGCAAGACAUGUCACCUGAUGGGU
rnacentral:piRNA from 1 species